CGUCCAAGCAGUAAGGCUGAGUGUUAGGCAAAUCCGGCACUCAUAAGGCUGAGCUGUGAUGGGGAGAGGAAAUUGUUUCCUCGAGUCGUUGAUUUCACACUGCCGAGAAAAGCCUCUAGAUAGAUAACAGGUGCCCGUACCGCAAACCGACACAGGUAGUCAAGAUGAGAAUUCUAAGGUGAGCGAGCGAACUCUCGUUAAGGAACUCGGCAAAAUGACCCCGUAACUUCGGGAGAAGGGGUGCUCUUUAGGGUUCACGCCCAGAAGAGCCGCAGUGAAUAGGCCCAAGCGACUGUUUAUCAAAAACACAGGUCUCUGCUAAACCGUAAGGUGAUGUAUAGGGGCUGACGCCUGCCCGGUGCUGGAAGGUUAAGAGGAGUGGUUAGCUUCUGCGAAGCUACGAAUCGAAGCCCCAGUAAACGGCGGCCGUAACUAUAACGGUCCUAAGGUAGCGAAAUUCCUUGUCGGGUAAGUUCCGACCCGCACGAAAGGCGUAACGAUUUGGGCACUGUCUCAACGAGAGACUCGGUGAAAUCAUAGUACCUGUGAAGAUGCAGGUUACCCGCGACAGGACGGAAAGACCCCGUGGAGCUUUACUGUAGCCUGAUAUUGAAAUUCGGCACAGCUUGUACAGGAUAGGUAGGAGCCUUUGAAACGUGAGCGCUAGCUUACGUGGAGGCGUUGGUGGGAUACUACCCUAGCUGUGUUGGCUUUCUAACCCGCACCACUUAUCGUGGUGGGAGACAGUGUCAGGCGGGCAGUUUGACUGGGGCGGUCGCCUCCUAAAAGGUAACGGAGGCGCUCAAAGGUUCCCUCAGAAUGGUUGGAAAUCAUUCAUAGAGUGUAAAGGCAUAAGGGAGCUUGACUGCGAGACCUACAAGUCGAGCAGGGUCGAAAGACGGACUUAGUGAUCCGGUGGUUCCGCAUGGAAGGGCCAUCGCUCAACGGAUAAAAGCUACCCCGGGGAUAACAGGCUUAUCUCCCCCAAGAGUUCACAUCGACGGGGAGGUUUGGCACCUCGAUGUCGGCUCAUCGCAUCCUGGGGCUGUAGUCGGUCCCAAGGGUUGGGCUGUUCGCCCAUUAAAGCGGUACGCGAGCUGGGUUCAGAACGUCGUGAGACAGUUCGGUCCCUAUCCGUCGUGGGCGUAGGAAAUUUGAGAGGAGCUGUCCUUAGUACGAGAGGACCGGGAUGGACAUACCUCUGGUGUACCAGUUGUCGUGCCAACGGCAUAGCUGGGUAGCUAUGUAUGGACGGGAUAAGUGCUGAAAGCAUCUAAGCAUGAAGCCCCCCUCAAGAUGAGAUUUCCCAACUUCGGUUAUAAGAUCCCUCGAAGAUGACGAGGUUAAUAGGUUCGAGGUGGAAGCGUGGUGACACGUGGAGCUGACGAAUACUAAUCGAUCGAAGACUUAAUCAA
rnacentral:rRNA from 1 species